AAGGACAUAAGGAUUUAGAUUUAAUUGGGAUUUAGGACUGUACGGUCGCUAAGGAAGAGAGGCAAACGUCAGUGUGGUCUUCACAGGGCGCCAUGCAGGUGCCGAGGUAACGCUUUGGCAUCAGGUAGUCGAGCGGUCUCGUUUCCCGCCCAUUUCCAUCGCCUGCUGCCAGUGCCGCCGCCGGCGAGGAUUCUGAUGCCCUCGAAAAGGACCCGCGCACGCAGCAGCCGGAAGAGCCUCCUCUCCAACGGCGGCGCACGGCUGACCCCUGGCGGCCCCAAGCAAGGCCGCUUUGCGCUCCCCGAGGCGAGCAGGUCACAAGAAGCUGCUAAAGAAAAAAAUGCUGCUUUGGACACUAGAGAACGGGGAAAGAAAAACUAGAGGGCGUGGGAAGAUUUCACCACCCCUUCAGAAGCUGAUGUUUUCUCCCCUGGAAUUAACCGAAGAGAGCUCUGAGACCUGCGUGCACGGAAGUUCUUGCUUUGGCACCCACUGCGGUUCCAGCCUUUACUNCCCCAGAUUCUCAGUGCAAAUGCUGGAGGCCUGGCAUUACCCACCCUGCCGACAGGCCUAAAACUUUCCCUGCUGAACGCUGUCCUGUGGCGGAAGCCAUCGCAGGGUCGGCCUGGCUCCUGGGCUGAAGUUGCCUGUCCAGUCCGUUGCUAGAUUACUGCUCCACAGUGUUCACAAACGCCGAGCAAAAGCAUCCCUUUUGGACCCCCUCACAACCCCCCCGGACUGUUCCAUUUUCGAGAAACGUGUAGCCACACUUUCCC
rnacentral:lncRNA from 1 species